rnacentral:rRNA from 1 species
UACAGAGGGGGCAAGCGUUGUUCGGAAUUACUGGGCGUAAAGGGCGCGUAGGCGCCUUCUAAGUCGAACGUGAAAUCCCCGGGCUCAACCCGGGAACUGCGUCCGAUACUGGAAGGCUUGAAUCCGGGAGAGGGAUGUGGAAUUCCAGGUGUAGCGGUGAAAUGCGUAGAUAUCUGGAGGAAUACCGAUGGCGAAGGCAGCCAUCUGGCCUAACACUGACGCUGAGGUGCGAAAGCAUGGGGAGCAAACAGGG